AUUGAACGCUGGCGGCAUGCUUUACACAUGCAAGUCGAACGGUAACAGAGAAAAGCUUGCUUUUCUGCUGACGAGUGGCGAACGGGUGAGUAAUACAUCGGAACGUACCCUGUAGUGGGGGAUAACUACUCGAAAGAGUAGCUAAUACCGCAUACAACCUGAGGGUAAAAGUGGGGGACCGCAAGGCCUCACGCUAUAGGAGCGGCCGAUGGAAGAUUAGGUAGUUGGUAGGGUAAAGGCCUACCAAGCCGACGAUCUUUAGCGGGUCUGAGAGGACGAUCCGCCACACUGGGACUGAGACACGGCCCAGACUCCUACGGGAGGCAGCAGUGGGGAAUUUUGGACAAUGGGCGAAAGCCUGAUCCAGCAAUGCCGCGUGAGUGAAGAAGGCCUUCGGGUUGUAAAGCUCUUUUGUUUGGGAAGAAAUCCCUAAGGAUAAUACCCUUGGGGGAUGGCGGUACCAAAAGAAUAAGCACCGGCUAACUACGUGCCAGCCGCCGCUGUAAAAC
rnacentral:rRNA from 1 species